UGCGUAGGCGGCGCCGUAAGUCAGAUGUGAAAGCCCGGGGCUCAACCCCGGAAUUGCAUCCGAUACUGCGGUGCUUGAGAACUGGAGAGGAGUCUAGAAUUUUCGGUGUAGCAGUGAAAUGCGUAGAUAUCGAAAGGAAUACCAAAGGCGAAGGCCGGACUCUGGACAGUUUCUGACGCUGAGGCACGAAGGCCAGGUAGCAACG
rnacentral:rRNA from 1 species